rnacentral:rRNA from 1 species
UACGUAGGGGGCAAGCGUUGUCCGGAAUCAUUGGGCGUAAAGCGCGUGUAGGCGGCCAGAAAAGUCCGCUGUGAAAACUCGAGGCUCAACUUCGAGCUGUCGGUGGAAACUUUCUGGCUAGAGUCCGGAAGAGGAGAAUGGAAUUCCUGGUGUAGCGGUGAAAUGCGCAGAUAUCAGGAGGAACACCGGUGGCGAAGGCGGCGAGCUGGUCCGUACCUGACGCUGAGGCACGAAAGCGUGGGGAGCGAACAGG